CCUACGGGUGGCAGCAGUGGGGAAUAUUGGACAAUGGGGGCAACCCUGAUCCAGCCAUGCCGCGUGUGUGAAGAAGGCCCUCGGGUUGUAAAGCACUUUCAGUGAGGAAGAACGCCUGGUGGUUAAUACCCAUCAGGAAAGACAUCACUCACAGAAGAAGCACCGGCUAACUCCGUGCCAGCAGCCGCGGUAAUACGGAGGGUGCGAGCGUUAAUCGGAAUUACUGGGCGUAAAGCGCGCGUAGGUGGCUUGAUAAGCCGGUUGUGAAAGCCCCGGGCUCAACCUGGGAACGGCAUCCGGAACUGUCAAGCUAGAGUGCAGGAGAGGAAGGUAGAAUUCCCGGUGUAGCGGUGAAAUGCGUAGAGAUCGGGAGGAAUACCAGUGGCGAAGGCGGCCUUCUGGACUGACACUGACACUGAGGUGCGAAAGCGUGGGUAGCAAACAGGAUUAGAACCCUAGUAGUC
rnacentral:rRNA from 1 species